UACAGAGGGUGCGAGCGUUAAUCGGAAUUACUGGGCGUAAAGGGCUCGUAGGCGGUCUGUCACGUCGGGAGUGAAAACUCGGGGCUCAACCCCGAGCCUGCUUCCGAUACGGGCAGACUAGAGGUAUGCAGGGGAGAAUGGAAUUCCUGGUGUAGCGGUGAAAUGCGCAGAUAUCAGGAGGAACACCGGUGGCGAAGGCGGCACUCUGGGCCGGAACUGACGCUGAGGAGCGAAAGCGUGGGGAGCGAACAGG
rnacentral:rRNA from 1 species